rnacentral:lncRNA from 1 species
AAGGUAAAUGCUAUCGUUGCCUUCAACCAGGCCAUAAAGUGGCAGAUUGCAGGGAUCCGCUUCGUUGUUGGGUUUGCAAAAGAUUCGGCCAUCUCUCUUCAGCCUGCAGAGAGCGUCGCUAUAAAUUCCAGCAAUCAGAGCAGCUUUCACCACCUCUUUCGCACCCACCUUCACCACCACUGCUCUCCUCCUCAGCCUUCCCCCCCCCCCCCCCUCACCACCUCCACUGCCCCGACCUCCAUGGCUUCAGUCCCCAGUGGUCUGGUCUCUCGACCAGAUUUUGGUAGCUGCAUGGUGGCGGCAACAAGCGAGAUGGAAAGACUGAAGCAACUCUUCACGGCAGGAUCAGUGGUGACUUGGUCAGAUGAGGGCCAGAAGGUGGAAAUCGGCACCUUUGCCGAUGACAUCCGCUCGGCUUUCCACAUCCAUCGUUCCGACAUUCAGAUCACAAAAUUCCAUCCAGUAGAUUUCCUCCUCACUUUCGUUAAUCAUAGCGAUCGUGAGGAGGUUCUACAAGAACCAAGAUUGGUGACCCGAAGCAGAAGAGACCUCUUCUCUCGACAGGGUCGGGUCUUCAUGUGGCACUACGGAGUGCCUGAUGAUGUCACCCGGAUGAGGUCGAUGGCUCACCCAAUUCAAGCCUGCAGAACCCUUCCGGCGCCGGAGAGAAGGUCUGAUGAUGAAGACGACCACGAGCAGCGUUCAAGAAGGAGGCAUAGAAGUCGCUCUCUUUGGAACCGCUUAGGCGGUCAUUCGUCAAGCAAAAGCAGAGAGCCUGGUCUUGACAACCGGAGUUCAUACAAUCAAGAGACAAGGGGAAGACAGAGAGAACGAGCUGCUGACAUCAAUAGAAGUAGAAGCCGACAUCUGUCCAGGUCGGUCGAACCUGGAGAAACAAGAAUCAGGCGUCAAUCGGCGACACCUCCGCAUCUCUCUGACCCUGCUCCAGCAGACAAG